rfam:Chlorocebus sabaeus isolate 1994-021 chromosome 1, whole genome shotgun sequence.
GCCAGGUGUGGUGGUGGUGCCUGUAGUCCCAGCUACUCAGAAGGCUGAAGCAGAAGAAUUGCUUGAGCCCGGGAAGCGGAGGUUGUAGUGAGCCAAGGUCACGCCAUUGCCCUCCAGCNNNNNNNNNNGCUGGAGGGCAAUGGCGUGACCUUGGCUCACUACAACCUCCGCUUCCCGGGCUCAAGCAAUUCUUCUGCUUCAG